rnacentral:rRNA from 1 species
GACGAACGCUGGCGGCGUGCUUAACACAUGCAAGUCGAACGGAAAGGCCCUGCUUUUGUGGGGUGCUCGAGUGGCGAACGGGUGAGUAACACGUGAGUAACCUGCCCUUGACUUUGGGAUAACUUCAGGAAACUGGGGCUAAUACCGGAUAGGAGCUCCUGCUGCAUGGUGGGGGUUGGAAAGUUUCGGCGGUUGGGGAUGGACUCGCGGCUUAUCAGCUUGUUGGUGGGGUAGUGGCCUACCAAGGCUUUGACGGGUAGCCGGCCUGAGAGGGUGACCGGCCACAUUGGGACUGAGAUACGGCCCAGACUCCUACGGGAGGCAGCAGUGGAGAAUAUUGCACAAUGGGCGGAAGCCUGAUGCAGCGACGCCGCGUGCGGGAUGACGGCCUUCGGGUUGUAAACCGCUUUCGCCUGUGACGAAGCGUGAGUGACGGUAAUGGGUAAAGAAGCACCGGCUAACUACGUG